rnacentral:tmRNA from 1 species
GGGGGCGAUGUGGGCUCGACGGGAAGGAACGCAGCAUCGGUGGCGGGCCGGGUGGCACCCGUUAACAGCCGCCUAAAAUAAGUGCGACUCCUGUUGCUUUGGCUGCGUAAUUGACGCAGCAGCCCGCCUGAUACUCGCUCGGUGGUAUCAGGGCCGGGUUCAGAGUGCCGAGUGCGCCUCCGCUGACGCCCGCUAAGCGGGGGCAAAGACCUCAGCGGGCUGGGGCAGUCCAGCGCUUGCCUGUGGGCGCUGAUUGCCGAGAGAACCAUCACAGGCUACGCCCGUAGGCACCGAUGUAGCUGCCUUCCCGGACGCGGGUUCAAUUCCCGCCGCCUCCACCA